AUUUAAGGGCUGACUGCUGGGGGGGAAGGUUCUUUUUUUUUGGAGAUACCUUCAAACAUAGACUCUUAAUUUGGCAUAUAUGCUUACCAUACCAAUCCACAUAGUGUGUCCCCUGCAGUGUGGUUGAGGAAGCACUGGGAAGAGGAGCUGCUGCCUUUUGGUCUCUGAAAGACAAGAAGAAAAGAAAUAAAGAUGAACAAGAAGGUUGGAAGAAUGAGUGAAGAUGGAAGACUGCACAGAAACUGUUUCUCAUUAUCCCUUGUUGGAGACUACUCCCCUUCACCUGCUGGGUGCAGAACUAUGAUGGAGAAGAUCAGUAAUUUCACCUGCAUGUGCCAGCAGGGUUCAUAAAACAAUUGCACAGAGCUAGAAGAUCUGAGCCCUCCUCCGGUGAGGUAUGGAAAUAAUGCCUUCCUUAGUGGGCCUAACUGUUAGUAGAAAAGCAGUUACGAAUGGUCUCCAAACAAAACCUCCAGAUUCCAAGACAUAAAUAAAGCCCCACUGAAGUGUCUGUCAUGCAAACAGCAACCCCAUUCCUUGCUCAGGACUUGCAGCUCCUGCUGUAGAUGGUAUAGCUCUAAAUUCAUACUAGUUUCAGAUG
ensembl:lncRNA